CCAGCGGGGUCCCUCUGACGUCUGUGACACCGUUAGACGUUUCCCAAGCGUGUGUCCCCGGAUCCUUCUAACACUGGGAGGGAAGCAGGAUGGAUGGGGAAACUGAGACCCACGGUGAGGCGUCUUGCAUGACACUCCCAGGGCUGACGCAGACCAGAUUGUGGGUUCCGGCACGGAGUCUCCACUACUGUCAUCUUUGGGACCUUCUAAGUCUUCAGGCCCCUCGGGAAGCUCCAGCGCCACUCUGGCCAUGCGGUGCCAUGUGGGUGGGCCCAGGCCUCUCCUGUCACGGGAAUACAGGCUUCACACUUUUCCCAGCUCUAUCCAUCUAAGCCCUGCCAGGAGGGGGUCUGAUACCUACGGUGCUCCUGGGUUCUGCCACCUCCCGUGCAGGUGAACCUUCCGGAGCCCUUGACCCAGAGAAGCGGCUAUACUUGGAGCGGGAGGCAGAGGGGAGAGAUUGGGGUUUAUUCAGGGCACUCCCCUUUAUGGUGAGUAAUUGUUACUUGCUUUGCCUCCAGGAGGUGGGGGACCCUUCUCACUUCACCAGUCCUGGGGAACCCCGUGUGAGAAAAACUAGAGGUACAAAUGCACCCACAGCAAACCAGAGGGUGUGGUUUGUACUGCCCCACCUUGGUUCACCGUUCAAAAGGCUUCUUGGAAAACCCCUCCCUGGGUGCAUCCAAGUGUUUGUUUACAGCUCAUUAACUACUUGAUGGAAAGGUUGGGGUGGGGGAUAUAUUGACAGAAAAUCAAUCAGAAAUGAAGAUUAACGAUCUCCAAAAUAUUCCUGUGGGUCCAUAGAGAAAUGGGACUUGAGUUCUAAAGCCAGGGUCUGAUAAACUAAGAUUUUAUUUCUCCAUUUGCCAUUGCACAGAGAGAGGCCACCAGGAAUCGGGCUGUGAGGAUUCCCCACACCUGCAGGGAAUUUGAGAUGGGCUCCAAGGGAAGCUUUUAGCUGUAAGGCCUCUUCCUCCUGGCCUUUGUUGCUGUCAGCAGGCAGAGAAUAGAGAAGAAAGUCGGGUUGGUUCACUCUACCACCACCGUGAGACUAGGCAAGCUGGGACCAGGACAGCGUCCCAUGGGUGCUUUCGCUACCUCCCACGCCUCUGUUCCUGUUUUAUUCACUGGAUGAGAUCAGGCUUCCCAAGUGGAACUGGAAGGGAAAGGCAGGCAGGUAUUUUCAGAUAAGCCCAUGGGAGCUAGAGGUCAGAGAACAGCUGGAAGAUGCCUCACGCCAGUCCCAGGGUGGCUCUGGAAUGGCACUGGCCACGGUUGGUCCAAUAACAAGGUGGAGAGGAGCCCAGGCUUGGUCCCUGCCCCCCAGUUCUGCUAGCUGGCUUCUGUCUUCGUCUUCCCUCUUUUCCUGUGACUGCAGUUCAGGCAGGGUACAGUGGUGCUUUAAGUUUCUGCCCCUCACCCUGAACACAGCUGCGUAAGACCCUCCAGAGGUCCUCCAGUCUGGGGCAAUGUGUCUCUACUGAAUCCGGCCCCAGGCUGAUUGGGUUGCCUGGGAGAAUUCCCAGAUCCCCCUGCUGCAGAGGCCUGUUUGGGGCCCUGCACUUCUUUGGCAGGGCUGGAUUUCCCAGGCUUAGGGGCUGGCUCCCCAGGUGCACCACACUUCAGUGUGCCCCCAAGAUCUGGCCGCCUCCCCUAGGUACUGUCAUUUAAAUCUGGCUCACCUCUCCCUGACUGUUGAGGGACUUUUCUGCUUUCCAUCCUGCAGAGAUCCUUGAGACUAAGAAGCUGAACAGAGUCUGGCUGCCUGUUUAAAAUGGAGAGAAAGAAAACAGCAAGGGAGAACCCCAGCGUUUGGAUUGCAGUCUUCACAUCUUGCCUCAUGGGGAUCCACAUGGUGAACGUGAACACAGUGCUGAGGCUUGUGUGGAGUCUGGAGUCCAUGAGGCUGGAGUCCCCAGGGCAGAAGGUGGACCACUGGAGCUCUCAGGCAUGGGAGUGGCUCACAGCCAUCACCUUUGAAAUCUAUUCUCUCGAGACAUUGGUGAGCCUGGGCUGCGAGGGUCUUCUGGAGACACCCUCCUGCGCUUAACACUGAUGUCGCUGACCGGGAAACUCUGGAAGAGCACCAUGAGCUUUCAAGGCUGGAAGAGGUUUCAGAUGGUCUACACUGGGGUAUCUACUGGUGGCACUUAGCAUUACUGACAUUUGAGGCUGACUACUUCUUUGUCAGGCGACUGACUUGUGUGUUAUGGAAUAUCUAGUAGCAUCCCUGCCUCUGCUCUCUAGAUGCCAGCAGCAUGCACACCUCCUCCCGUGUUGUGACAACCAGAUAUGUCUGUAGACAUUGUCACAUGUUGUGGAAGAAAAAAGUCACUCCCAGUGAGACCCAUGACUCUACACUAAUCUUCUUUAACAAAGGCACAAACCAAUACCAAGAAAUAGGAUAUGGCAUAAGCAACAUCAUUGAAGGCUAACAAGCAGAGGGCCCAAAUGCUUGGAUUCUGGAAUUAGCCGCAUCCAGACUCAAAUUCCACCUCUACUACUCACUAGUUCUUCUGUGAUCAGAGACAAGUAACCUCUCCUGGCCUUAGUUCGCCCCUCUAUUAAAUGUGCAUAUUAAUUUUACUACCUGUAUGGGUUGCCAUAUUCAAUAAGAUGAUGCACAUGAAGAGUUAACAAAUUGCCCGACAUCGUGGAAGAGCUCAGUUAAUAUCUGUGAAUAUCAGAAUCAGAAGAUAGUUCUGGACUUUUCUACUGAUUAGAAAUAGAAAGGCCUUCAGAAGCAGGGUGAGCAAACAGAAUUGCCAGUGCUCAGCCUCGGAGAGGAAGGCAGAAUCAAGAAUGGCCAAAUGUUUGGGGACAGUUGAUGUCAUAACGCAGGAGCAUCCAGAUGACAAGUGAGGGAAUUAACUCUGAGGAGACAGAGGGAACAGCAUAAGUAGAAAGGACUUUAGGGUUUCUCCCCUCAUGGUUUCAACCAUUCUGGAUGUGUCACAAGUCAGCUUGCACUUCAUCUUAGGUUUGGCUUUGUCUACAACGCUGUGUCACUUCCUGGGGCACCCACAUAGAGGAUGCUCAUUUGGUGGUUGCCAGAGUGAGUAUUUGUGCCCCCGCAAAUGUUCAUAUGUUGAAUCCUAACUUCCAAAGUGAUGGGACUAGGAGGUGGGGACUUUGGGAGGUGGUGAGAUCAUAAGGGUGGAGCCCUCAUGAAUGGGGUUAGUGCCCUUAACAAAGAGAACCCAGAGAGCUGCCUUGCCCUUUCCACCAUGGGAAGACACAGGAGAAAAUGGCCCUGUAGGAACCAGGAAUGAGCCCUCUCCAGACUCUGAAUCUGCCGGCACCUUGACCUUGGACUUCCCAGCCUUCAGAACUGUAAGAAGUAAAUUUCUGUUGUUUAUAAAUCUCCCUAUUCUCUUACAGCAUCCCCAGUGGGUGAAGAUAGUGGAUAUAUUCGAGCUAGACUUUUUUGGUUGUGGAGGGUAGAGAUUUAUUUUGGAAUAAAAGGUGUUUGUCAAAUCACUUUUGGAUUGGAUUGGAAUUGAAAUCCGUCAGGGAUCUCUCUCUCUCUCUCUCUGCAGAUGCCCUCCAGCCCAGCCCUCUCCUUCUCCCGACAGCCUUCUUCAUAAUGUGUGUUCUCUAUCACGCCAGGGUAGUGUGGUUUUGAGUUGACUCCACCUUCUGCCUCACUGGCUCCAUCUGUCACUCUUCUCUAAUUGAAAAUCGUGAGAGGGCUCGGCUUCCCUCUCCAACACCAGGCCUUAACAGGUCACUGUCCCUCCCAAGGUGUGGCUGCCCCUUGGUUGGGUGCCCGCCUCUGGUCCAGUCAGGUGGAUUCCAGGGUGUCCUGGCAAUGCACACGCAGUGUGGGCAGCAGCUGCAUGGCUUUGGCCAUUUCCCCUUGGAUGGGCUGUGAAGGUGUCCUCCAUCAUUGACAUCUCCAGCACAGGCUGAUGUGGUUGCCUGGGAAAAUGAGCACAGUCUCCCAGGCAGGUCCCUCAGAGGGUCUGUGUCUCUGCUGCCUUCCUUUAUGGCUGUCCUCUCCCAACCCCUGUGUCUGCAGGGAGAGGGCUCUGAACCUCUCAGAAUCUGGGGACUAUGUCAGGGGGCAAGGAGGGCAUCCAAAGGCCUUGCCUGUGCUCUUGGAGACUGCACAUCCUUAGUUGGGAUGAAGCCGGUGACAUCCCAGCAUUGAACUGGCCUUUGGGCAGAGUUCCUGGUAUCUCCAACUACAGCUGCUUCUUCUUCCAUCCCUGGAAAUGUGGGAAAUGCACAGGCUUCCACAAGGCCUCUGGGGCCACUUCCUUGUGGGUGGGAGCCAGCUCAGGCAGCCAUCACCCAAAGCCUCACUUUUGGUUUUUUCCACCUCUAGCAGGAAUGGCUGAAUCCCACUCAUACUUGGCUUACUUCAAGUGCUGCAUCCCUGGAAGCAACUCCAGCACUCCUGGCUUGAUCACAGAGCCCAGGGGUGUUCUGCUAUCACAGUGUUUGUGGUUGUCUGUACCAUGGCUCAGUGUUGGCUACCUCUCCCGACCAGGCCAUCCUGAGCCUGAUGGAGAUUUCCUGGCUGCCUGAUGGCAGGCUGGGCCAUGUGCCGUGUUUCAGACAAUGAAAUGUGGGUGAAAGAGACAUGUGCGACUUUGUUUUUUGAAAAUUUUAAUUAAUUUAUUUAUUUAUAAUUUUUUUAGAGACAGGGUCUCACUGUGUCA